rnacentral:rRNA from 1 species
GAUGAACGCUGGCGGCGUGCCUAAUACAUGCAAGUCGAGCGAACGGACGAGAAGCUUGCUUUUCUGAUGUUAGCGGCGGACGGGUGAGUAACACGUGGAUAACCUACCUAUAAGACUGGGAUAACUUCGGGAAACCGGAGCUAAUACCGGAUAAUAUUUUGAACCGCAUGGUUCAAAAGUGAAAGACGGUCUUGCUGUCACUUAUAGAUGGAUCCGCGCUGCAUUAGCUAGUUGGUAAGGUAACGGCUUACCAAGGCAACGAUGCAUAGCCGACCUGAGAGGGUGAUCGGCCACACUGGAACUGAGACACGGUCCAGACUCCUACGGGAGGCAGCAGUAGGGGAUCUUCCGCAAUGGGCGAAAGCCUGACGGAGCAACGCCGCGUGAGUGAUGAAGGUCUUCGGAUCGUAAAACUCUGUUAUUAGGGAAGAACAUAUGUGUAAAUAACUGUGCACAUCUUGACGGUACCUAAUCAGAAAGCCACGGCUAACUACGUG